rnacentral:lncRNA from 1 species
UAUUGAUAUAAAUUCACCCUUGAGAAGAACCAAGAAGCAAAUUUUAAAUGAGCAAAAUCCUGAAAUCCUUUAUCAUGUCAAGCCACCUUUUAUCAUGGGCUGAGCUCACGAACCUUAAAACCUUGGUUUUACCUCAGGCUAACCAAUAAUAUGAGAGUUUUAACACAAGGUUAAGCUUUAACCUAACCUUGGUUUUACCACAGGCUGACCAAGAACCAAUUGAAAGCUUUUAUCAUGGGCUAAGCCUUCGAACUUAAAUAAAGGUUU